rnacentral:rRNA from 1 species
AGUGAACGCUGGCGGUAUGCCUAACACAUGCAAGUCGAACGGCAGCACAGUAAGAGCUUGCUCUUACGGGUGGCGAGUGGCGGACGGGUGAGGAAUACAUCGGAUUCUACUUUUUCGUGGGGGAUAACGUAGGGAAACUUACGCUAAUACCGCAUACGACCUACGGGUGAAAGCAGUGGAUCUUCGGACCUUGCGUGAUUGAAUGAGCCGAUGUCGGAUUAGCUAGUUGGCGGGGUAAAGGCCCACCAAGGCGACGAUCCGUAGCUGGUCUGAGAGGAUGAUCAGCCACACUGGAACUGAGACACGGUCCAGACUCCUACGGGAGGCAGCAGUGGGGAAUAUUGGACAAUGGGCGCAAGCCUGAUCCAGCCAUACCGCGUGGGUGAAGAAGGCCUUCGGGUUGUAAAGCCCUUUUGUUGGGAAAGAAAAGCAGCAGGUUAAUACCCCGCUGUUCUGACGGUACCCAAAGAAUAAGCACCGGCUAACUUCGUG